CCUCGCUCAAAGGAGGCGGCGGGGAACCGGGGCGAGGGGCAUCCCGCGGCCUUCUCGGCGGGGCCUGAGGACAGAGGCGUUUAAAAAAUUUAAAAAGCAACCGCCAUAACCGUCAGUUCGCCCAGAUCCCUUUGUCUACCAAUCCCUGCUCGUUCCAGUUUCAAAAAGAAAAAAACAGAUGACAUCCACAAAGAGCCGCAGCAAAGGGCACCCUAAAUCAAAUCAAGACAUUAUGAAUUGCACCAAAAAGGCCCCGGAUGGCAGCAGCCAUAAUCUGCUAAACGAGAGGCCAGGUAGGCUCUCUGACCUAGUCUAUUAGCAUCUAGUCUAAUGGAAUUCAUAGUGUCAUCAAAAGACCCCUUUUGUUCUAAAUCAUGCCCAGGAAUUCAGGCGUCUCAAUGAUAAAGAGAAAACUCCCGUCUUUUCCUAACCCCUCCCUGGCACCAAGGUUCUGAGAUACUCCAGAGAAGUGCCAAUAAUUAGCCCCUUUUGUUUAGCUUAAGUCAGGGCCAUAAAAGGCACAUUUAGAUAAGAGAGUCGAAACAUCCGAGGAACAGGAUGUCAAUCAAGUCAAACUACGAAUCUAAAUCUCCGCAUAUUUUGGGAACACUAAGAACAUCUCUUGGCAUAUUGGCAUAUUGAUGACUUAAUUGUGACACUAUUGCUGUAAUUCUAUCUGCACCAAUUGGUCAUUUUAUUUCUUUUGAUGUACUCUGGCUUAUACUCUUUAUAAACCCCUGGUUUUGUUCAGUUGAGGGCGACUCUCCUGAUUCUAGUGGAAGCCCUUAUUGGCCUGAAUAAAAUUGUUUCUUUAAUUUUA